UAUAAGGGGAUAGAAAGAAAGCAUAGCAUUGUACAUGUUUUUUUUUGUACAUGUAAGAACAACAGAAACGUUAAAUUCCAUGGACAAUAUAUUAUUGGUAGCAUAGGCGGCCAGAGGGGAGAACAUGACACUGGGGACAAUAAGGAGGAGAGGAACAAGACAAACACAGAGUCAUGAAAUUUUAUAUAUGUAUGUCUGAGAUACUAAUAAUUAAUUAAGUAAUGAAUGUGGUGAUGUGCAUGUUUCAGUGAAAAGUACAGAUAUUAAAUGUAAAAGACUUGGAUGAUUAACAGCAUCCAUUUGGAGCUUUGAAUGCAGCAAGUAAAGGGUAAGAAUUAGUGGUGUGUGAAGAAGAAGAUGAGAGUGAAAAAGGGAAGAGGGAAGAGCAGUUAGUUGGUGUUUGGAGUGUGUGAGAAUUAAUGCAGUGGUUCUAGAAAAAAGGUGGAGAAUUAGCUAAGGUAGGCCUGGAUUUGGUAUGUAGAAAUUGGCAAAGGAUUGAGAAGGGUAAGAGAAAAACAGGCAUUAAAAAUGGUAAGAGAUGGGAAGGUAGAUAGCUAGCUUUAUCGUGUAGAGUGUUGGAAGCAACAAGUGUGGGAAUCCUGGUGUCAGAUUUUAUUGGACCCUCUUCCCCCUCUUGGUUUUGUGCACUCAUCAGUACUGCCUCUGCCUCCAAUUGCAGUCUUCUUUCUGUGUUCUUAUGCUUCUCUCUCUCUCUCUCUCUUUCUGUUUGUAUGCAAGUGUCUCUCACGGUUAGAUUCUAAUUCAUCACACUUCUCUAUAUUUUCUGCAACCCCUUUUCAUCAUUUUAUCAUAUACCUUCUGUACAUGAAUUAUUCAUCAUCCUAACAAACAUGUCUUCUUUACUUUCAAUCCACUGUUUAAUCUAACCAAAAUUAGUACUGUGUUUGGUUUGAAGUACUCAUGCUACAAUUCUAUUGUAAAGACAAAUUUGAAGUUCAAUAUUUGUCUGCAAGUAUAUGUAACUCUCUCUCUCUAUAUAUAUAUAUAUAUUAUAUAAGUUUGGCUCCUUUAUUUAUGUUAAAGAAAAGUUUCUCUGGUUGAAUAUUUAGCUAAUGCCUCGAAGAACACGCAAACACUCUCAAACACACUGCUAUUGGUUUUGGUAUGUGGAUGGUGAGAGUACUGCAGACAAGCAUGUGCUGUGACUGAGCAGGCAUGUAGAGAGAGAGAGAAAAAAGAAAUGAGUUGAACCAAGAAGAGUAGGGUUUGUUUUGUUGGGGGUGUGAAUGGUGAUUAUUCUUGGAUUUAACACAAGCAAACACGCAUGUUAUAGUAGUUAUUAUUGUUUGUUCCCUGCCCAUAACGACAUGUAUAAUGUAUAAUAUAAUCUGUUUUUCAUUCUUGUGCUCCCCUUUUGAGGAGAAAUGAAAUGUUGGUUUGGUGUAACAUUCCUUUAUUUUUCUUUUUUCAGCAGCUUCAAAACAAAAU
rnacentral:lncRNA from 1 species